UUAAGCGACUAAGCGUACACGGUGGAUGCCCUGGCAGUCAGAGGCGAUGAAGGACGUGCUAAUCUGCGAUAAGCGUCGGUAAGGUGAUAUGAACCGUUAUAACCGGCGAUUUCCGAAUGGGGAAACCCAGUGUGAUUCGUCACACUAUCAUUAACUGAAUCCAUAGGUUAAUGAGGCGAACCGGGGGAACUGAAACAUCUAAGUACCCCGAGGAAAAGAAAUCAACCGAGAUUCCCCCAGUAGCGGCGAGCGAACGGGGAGGAGCCCAGAGCCUGAAUCAGUGUGUGUGUUAGUGGAAGCGUCUGGAAAGGCGUGCGAUACAGGGUGACAGCCCCGUACACAAAAAUGCACAUGCUGUGAGCUCGAUGAGUAGGGCGGGACACGUGGUAUCCUGUCUGAAUAUGGGGGGACCAUCCUCCAAGGCUAAAUACUCCUGACUGACCGAUAGUGAACCAGUACCGUGAGGGAAAGGCGAAAAGAACCCCGGCGAGGGGAGUGAAAAAGAACCUGAAACCGUGUACGUACAAGCAGUGGGAGCACAGAGCAAUCUGUGUGACUGCGUACCUUUUGUAUAAUGGGUCAGCGACUUAUAUUCUGUAGCAAGGUUAACCGAAUAGGGGAGCCGAAGGGAAACCGAGUCUUAACUGGGCGUUAAGUUGCAGGGUAUAGACCCGAAACCCGGUGAUCUAGCCAUGGGCAGGUUGAAGGUUGGGUAACACUAACUGGAGGACCGAACCGACUAAUGUUGAAAAAUUAGCGGAUGACUUGUGGCUGGGGGUGAAAGGCCAAUCAAACCGGGAGAUAGCUGGUUCUCCCCGAAAGCUAUUUAGGUAGCGCCUCGUGAAUUCAUCUCCGGGGGUAGAGCACUGUUUCGGCAAGGGGGUCAUCCCGACUUACCAACCCGAUGCAAACUGCGAAUACCGGAGAAUGUUAUCACGGGAGACACACGGCGGGUGCUAACGUCCGUCGUGAAGAGGGAAACAACCCAGACCGCCAGCUAAGGUCCCAAAGUCAUGGUUAAGUGGGAAACGAUGUGGGAAGGCCCAGACAGCCAGGAUGUUGGCUUAGAAGCAGCCAUCAUUUAAAGAAAGCGUAAUAGCUCACUGGUCGAGUCGGCCUGCGCGGAAGAUGUAACGGGGCUAAACCAUGCACCGAAGCUGCGGCAGCGACGCUUAUGCGUUGUUGGGUAGGGGAGCGUUCUGUAAGCCUGCGAAGGUGUGCUGUGAGGCAUGCUGGAGGUAUCAGAAGUGCGAAUGCUGACAUAAGUAACGAUAAAGCGGGUGAAAAGCCCGCUCGCCGGAAGACCAAGGGUUCCUGUCCAACGUUAAUCGGGGCAGGGUGAGUCGACCCCUAAGGCGAGGCCGAAAGGCGUAGUCGAUGGGAAACAGGUUAAUAUUCCUGUACUUGGUGUUACUGCGAAGGGGGGACGGAGAAGGCUAUGUUGGCCGGGCGACGGUUGUCCCGGUUUAAGCGUGUAGGCUGGUUUUCCAGGCAAAUCCGGAAAAUCAAGGCUGAGGCGUGAUGACGAGGCACUACGGUGCUGAAGCAACAAAUGCCCUGCUUCCAGGAAAAGCCUCUAAGCAUCAGGUAACAUCAAAUCGUACCCCAAACCGACACAGGUGGUCAGGUAGAGAAUACCAAGGCGCUUGAGAGAACUCGGGUGAAGGAACUAGGCAAAAUGGUGCCGUAACUUCGGGAGAAGGCACGCUGAUAUGUAGGUGAAGUCCCUCGCGGAUGGAGCUGAAAUCAGUCGAAGAUACCAGCUGGCUGCAACUGUUUAUUAAAAACACAGCACUGUGCAAACACGAAAGUGGACGUAUACGGUGUGACGCCUGCCCGGUGCCGGAAGGUUAAUUGAUGGGGUUAGCGCAAGCGAAGCUCUUGAUCGAAGCCCCGGUAAACGGCGGCCGUAACUAUAACGGUCCUAAGGUAGCGAAAUUCCUUGUCGGGUAAGUUCCGACCUGCACGAAUGGCGUAAUGAUGGCCAGGCUGUCUCCACCCGAGACUCAGUGAAAUUGAACUCGCUGUGAAGAUGCAGUGUACCCGCGGCAAGACGGAAAGACCCCGUGAACCUUUACUAUAGCUUGACACUGAACAUUGAGCCUUGAUGUGUAGGAUAGGUGGGAGGCUUUGAAGUGUGGACGCCAGUCUGCAUGGAGCCGACCUUGAAAUACCACCCUUUAAUGUUUGAUGUUCUAACGUUGACCCGUGAUCCGGGUUGCGGACAGUGUCUGGUGGGUAGUUUGACUGGGGCGGUCUCCUCCUAAAGAGUAACGGAGGAGCACGAAGGUUGGCUAAUCCUGGUCGGACAUCAGGAGGUUAGUGCAAUGGCAUAAGCCAGCUUGACUGCGAGCGUGACGGCGCGAGCAGGUGCGAAAGCAGGUCAUAGUGAUCCGGUGGUUCUGAAUGGAAGGGCCAUCGCUCAACGGAUAAAAGGUACUCCGGGGAUAACAGGCUGAUACCGCCCAAGAGUUCAUAUCGACGGCGGUGUUUGGCACCUCGAUGUCGGCUCAUCACAUCCUGGGGCUGAAGUAGGUCCCAAGGGUAUGGCUGUUCGCCAUUUAAAGUGGUACGCGAGCUGGGUUUAGAACGUCGUGAGACAGUUCGGUCCCUAUCUGCCGUGGGCGCUGGAGAACUGAGGGGGGCUGCUCCUAGUACGAGAGGACCGGAGUGGACGCAUCACUGGUGUUCGGGUUGUCAUGCCAAUGGCACUGCCCGGUAGCUAAAUGCGGAAGAGAUAAGUGCUGAAAGCAUCUAAGCACGAAACUUGCCCCGAGAUGAGUUCUCCCUGACUCCUUGAGAGUCCUGAAGGAACGUUGAAGACGACGACGUUGAUAGGCCGGGUGUGUAAGCGCAGCGAUGCGUUGAGCUAACCGGUACUAAUGAACCGUGAGGCUUAACCUU
rnacentral:rRNA from 1 species